AACGAACGCUGGCGGCGUGUUUAAGACAUGCAGGUCGCACGGGAUCAGAUAUGUAGCAAUACUUGUCUGGUUCAGUGGCGCACGGGUGAGUAACACGUGAAUUACAUGCCCUUCAGAGGGGGAUAGCCCAGGGAAACUUGGAUUAAUACCCCAUGGUCUCGCAAGAGUAAAGGUGGCCGCAAGGCUGUCGCUGGAGGAUUGGUUCGCGCCCUAUCAGCUUGUUGGUGAGGUAACGGCUCACCAAGGCUACGACGGGUACCUGGUUUGAGAGGACGAUCAGGCACACUGGAACUGAGACACGGUCCAGACACCUACGGGUGGCAGCAGUCGAGAAUAAUUCACAAUGGGGGCAACCCUGAUGGUGCAACGCCGCGUGGAGGAUGACGGUCUUCGGAUUGUAAACUCCUGUCAUCCGGGAGUAAGACCUGGCGAUGAAUAGUCGACAGGGUUGAUAGUACCGGAAGAGGAAGGGACGGCUAACUUCGUGCCAGCAGCCGCGGUAAUACGAAGGUCCCGAGCGUUGUUCGGAAUCACUGGGCGUAAAGGGAGCGUAGGCGGCGUGGUAAGUCUAGAUGUGAAAUCCCGGGGCUCAACCCCGGAACUGCAUCCUGAUACUGCCGUGC
rnacentral:rRNA from 1 species